rnacentral:sRNA from 1 species
UCAAAGCUUUGAGAAGCAAGAAGAAGCUUGGUUAGUGUUUUGGAGUCAAAUAUAACUAGAUGUCAUGUGUAUGAUUAAGUAUAAGAACUAGAAGCGCAACGUGAUACCAAAAGCUAAAGUA